rnacentral:rRNA from 1 species
GACGAACGCUGGCGGCGUGCUUAACACAUGCAAGUCGAACGAAGUGGCGAAAGGGUGAGUAAUACGUGGGUAAACUGAACUACUUUGUGGGAUUAGCCGUGGAAACGGGGUGUAAUACCGGAAAAAGGGGGAUGGGCUCGCGGCCUAUCAGCUUGUUGGUGGGGGGAGGGCCGACCACGGCGGUGAAGGGUAGCCGGCCGGAGAGGGUGACCGGCUCCAUUGGGACUGCGCUACGGCCCAGACUCUUACGGGAGGCAGCAGUGGGGGCGUGUGCACGAUGGGCGAUAGCCUGAUGCAGCGACGCCGCGUGGGGGAUGAAGGUUUUCGGGUUGUAAACCUCUUUCGCGAUCGAACGGGUAGGUGGAGAAGAAGCGCCGGCUAACUACGUGCCAGCCGCCGCGGUAAUAG